GGUGAAAAGCACCCCGGAAGGGGAGUGAAAUAGAACCUGAAACCGUGUGCUUACAAGUAGUCAGAGCCCGUUAAUGGGUGAUGGCGUGCCUUUUGUAGAAUGAACCGGCGAGUUACGAUUUGAUGCAAGGUUAAGCAGUAAAUGUGGAGCCGUAGCGAAAGCGAGUCUGAAUAGGGCGUUUAGUAUUUGGUCGUAGACCCGAAACCAGGUGAUCUACCCUUGGUCAGGUUGAAGUUCAGGUAACACUGAAUGGAGGACCGAACCGACUUACGUUGAAAAGUGAGCGGAUGAACUGAGGGUAGCGGAGAAAUUCCAAUCGAACCUGGAGAUAGCUGGUUCUCUCCGAAAUAGCUUUAGGGCUAGCCUCAAGUGAUGAUUAUUGGAGGUAGAGCACUGUUUGGACGAGGGGCCCCUCUCGGGUUACCGAAUUCAGACAAACUCCGAAUGCCAAUUAAUUUAACUUGGGAGUCAGAACAUGGGUGAUAAGGUCCGUGUUCGAAAGGGAAACAGCCCAGACCACCAGCUAAGGUCCCAAAAUAUAUGUUAAGUGGAAAAGGAUGUGGCGUUGCCCAGACAACUAGGAUGUUGGCUUAGAAGCAGCCAUCAUUUAAAGAGUGCGUAAUAGCUCACUAGUCGAGUGACACUGCGCCGAAAAUGUACCGGGGCUAAACAUAUUACCGAAGCUGUGGAUUGUCCUUUGGACAAUGGUAGGAGAGCGUUCUAAGGGCGUUGAAGCAUGAUCGUAAGGACAUGUGGAGCGCUUAGAAGUGAGAAUGCCGGUGUGAGUAGCGAAAGACGGGUGAGAAUCCCGUCCACCGAUUGACUAAGGUUUCCAGAGGAAGGCUCGUCCGCUCUGGGUUAGUCGGGUCCUAAGCUGAGGCCGACAGGCGUAGGCGAUGGAUAACAGGUUGAUAUUCCUGUACCACCUAUAAUCGUUUUAAUCGAUGGGGGGACGCAGUAGGAUAGGCGAAGCGUGCGAUUGGAUUGCACGUCUAAGCAGUAAGGCUGAGUAUUAGGCAAAUCCGGUACUCAUUAAGGCUGAGCUGUGAUGGGGAGAAGACAUUGUGUCUUCGAGUCGUUGAUUUCACACUGCCGAGAAAAGCCUCUAGAUAGAAAAUAGGUGCCCGUACCGCAAACCGACACAGGUAGUCAAGAUGAGAAUUCUAAGGUGAGCGAGCGAACUCUCGUUAAGGAACUCGGCAAAAUGACCCCGUAACUUCGGGAGAAGGGGUGCUCUUUAGGGUUAACGCCCAGAAGAGCCGCAGUGAAUAGGCCCAAGCGACUGUUUAUCAAAAACACAGGUCUCUGCUAAACCGUAAGGUGAUGUAUAGGGGCUGACGCCUGCCCGGUGCUGGAAGGUUAAGAGGAGUGGUUAGCUUCUGCGAAGCUACGAAUCGAAGCCCCAGUAAACGGCGGCCGUAACUAUAACGGUCCUAAGGUAGCGAAAUUCCUUGUCGGGUAAGUUCCGACCCGCACGAAAGGCGUAACGAUUUGGGCACUGUCUCAACGAGAGACUCGGUGAAAUCAUAGUACCUGUGAAGAUGCAGGUUACCCGCGACAGGACGGAAAGACCCCGUGGAGCUUUACUGUAGCCUGAUAUUGAAAUUCGGCACAGCUUGUACAGGAUAGGUAGGAGCCUUUGAAACGUGAGCGCUAGCUUACGUGGAGGCGCUGGUGGGAUACUACCCUAGCUGUGUUGGCUUUCUAACCCGCACCACUUAUCGUGGUGGGAGACAGUGUCAGGCGGGCAGUUUGACUGGGGCGGUCGCCUCCUAAAAGGUAACGGAGGCGCUCAAAGGUUCCCUCAGAAUGGUUGGAAAUCAUUCAUAGAGUGUAAAGGCAUAAGGGAGCUUGACUGCGAGACCUACAAGUCGAGCAGGGUCGAAAGACGGACUUAGUGAUCCGGUGGUUCCGCAUGGAAGGGCCAUCGCUCAACGGAUAAAAGCUACCCCGGGGAUAACAGGCUUAUCUCCCCCAAGAGUUCACAUCGACGGGGAGGUUUGGCACCUCGAUGU
rnacentral:rRNA from 1 species